GUAGGUGAACCUGCGGAAGGAUCAUUACUGAAGUGAUUUGGGGAUGUUGCUGGCCUCCUCUCAGAGGCAAUGUGCACUCCUUGAACAAUUCAAAAUUUCCAUCACACCCUUGUGCACAUCUUGUAGGCGUCCACUCACCUUCAUUGGUCUGGGCGUCCUAUGUAUUCCCUCAUCUCACACUUUUUGAAUGGUGCUCUCGAAUGCAUCUUAUGGAUUAUUUGUAAAAAAAGUAAUCACAGAAACAACUUUC
rnacentral:misc_RNA from 1 species